UUGCCCAUUUAAGACCGCUUGUGUCUUAAAUGAUUAACACAGGGGGGAAGAAGUCGUCUCUCAAAAAACCCGAAGUAAAGGCAGAUUCACUUCCUUGCUUCGGAUCCUGUCGGGAGAAACAAAA